AGCGAACGCUGGCGGCAGGCUUAACACAUGCAAGUCGAGCGGGCACUUUCGGGUGUCAGCGGCGGACGGGUGAGUAACGCGUGGGAACGUGCCCUCUUGUUCGGAAUAUCUCUGGGAAACUUGUUCUAAUACCGGAUACGCCCUUUUGGGUAAAGGCUUUCUGCCGGAGUAUCGGCUCGAGUCUGAUUCCCUUUGUGGUGAGGUAACGGCUCACCAAGGCGUCGAUCAGUAGCUGGUCUGAGAGGAGGAUAAGACACACUGGGACUGAGACACGGACCAGAAUGCUACGGGAGGGAGGAGUAGGGAAUAUUGGAAAAGGGGCGCAAGCCUGAGAAAGCCAGGCGGGGGGAGUGAGGAAGGCGGUAGGGAAGUAAAGCUCUUUUAUACGGGACGAGAAUGACGGUACCGGAGGAAUAAGCCCCGGCUAACUACGUG
rnacentral:rRNA from 1 species